rnacentral:rRNA from 1 species
UACAGAGGGUGCAAGCGUUGUUCGGAAUUAUUGGGCGUAAAGCGCGUGUAGGCGGCUUUGCAAGUCGGAUGUGAAAGCCCUCGGCUCAACCGAGGAAGUGCACCCGAAACUGCAAGACUUGAGUGUCGGAGAGGGUGACGGAAUUCCCGGUGUAGAGGUGAAAUUCGUAGAUAUCGGGAGGAACAUCAGUGGCGAAGGCGGCAUCCUGGCUCUGUUCUGACGCUGAGGCGCGAGAGCGUGGGGAGCAAACCGG